rnacentral:rRNA from 1 species
AGGUUACUUCGGUAACUGACCUAGCGGCGGACGGGUGAGUAAUGCUUAGGAAUCUGCCUAUUAGUGGGGGACAACAUUCCGAAAGGAAUGCUAAUACCGCAUACGCCCUACGGGGGAAAGCAGGGGAUCUUCGGACCUUGCGCUAAUAGAUGAGCCUAAGUCGGAUUAGCUAGUUGGUGGGGUAAAGGCCUACCAAGGCGACGAUCUGUAGCGGGUCUGAGAGGAUGAUCCGCCACACUGGGACUGAGACACGGCCCAGACUCCUACGGGAGGCAGCAGUGGGGAAUAUUGGACAGUGGGCGGAAGCCUGAUCCAGCCAUGCCGCGUGUGUGAAGAAGGCCUUUUGGUUGUAAAGCACUUUAAGCGAGGAGGAGGCUCCUUUAGUUAAUACCUAAAGAGAGUGGACGUUACUCGCAGAAUAAGCACCGGCUAACUCUGUGCCAGCAGCCGCGGUAAUACAGAGGGUGCGAGCGUUAAUCGGAUUUACUGGGCGUAAAGCGUGCGUAGGCGGCUUUUUAAGUCGGAUGUGAAAUCCCUGAGCUUAACUUAGGAAUUGCAUUCGAUACUGGAAAGCUAGAGUAUGGGAGAGGAUGGUAGAAUUCCAGGUGUAGCGGUGAAAUGCGUAGAGAUCUGGAGGAAUACCGAUGGCGAAGGCAGCCAUCUGGCCUAAUACUGACGCUGAGGUACGAAAGCAUGGGGAGCAAACAGGAUUAGAUACCCUGGUAGUCCAUGCCGUAAACGAUGUCUACUAGCCGUUGGGGCCUUUGAGGCUUUAGUGGCGCAGCU